rnacentral:rRNA from 1 species
UACGGGGGGGGCAAGCGUUGUUCGGAAUUACUGGGCGUAAAGGGCUCGUAGGCGGCCAACUAAGUCAGACGUGAAAUCCCUCGGCUUAACCGGGGAACUGCGUCUGAUACUGGAUGGCUUGAAUCCGGGAGGGGGAUGCGGAAUUCCAGGUGUAGCGGUGAAAUGCGUAGAUAUCUGGAGGAACACCGGUGGCGAAGGCGGCAUCCUGGACCGGCAUUGACGCUGAGGAGCGAAAGCCAGGGGAGCAAACGGG